AUGAAUUUUGGAGUCCUACUGUGCCUGCCGUUCAUUCGGAUGUGUGCACGUAGUCUCUAUAAAUCCUUAUCAACACCUGUGCACCUUUAAAAAGGGGGGAGUCUGAUUAAGCAUUUUAUGAUGCUUAUGACGAAUAACCUCUUUUCUUAUACAAACUCUUUUAAUGUCUAUUAGAAUGUUCUCUCUGGCCGCAAGGCUAUAAAUAUAAA
rnacentral:misc_RNA from 1 species